rnacentral:rRNA from 1 species
UAGGGAAUCUUCCACAAUGGACGAAAGUCUGAUGGAGCAACGCCGCGUGAGUGAGGAAGGUUUUCGGAUCGUAAAGCUCUGUUGUUGGUGAAGAAGGAUAGAGGCAGUAACUGGUCUUUAUUUGACGGUAAUCAACCAGAAAGUCACGGCUAACUACGUGCCAGCAGCCGCGGUAAUACGUAGGUGGCAAGCGUUGUCCGGAUUUAUUGGGCGUAAAGCGAGCGCAGGCGGAAUGAUAAGUCUGAUGUGAAAGCCCACGGCUCAACCGUGGAACUGCAUCGGAAACUGUCAUUCUUGAGUGCAGAAGAGGAGAGUGGAACUCCAUGUGUAGCGGUGGAAUGCGUAGAUAUAUGGAAGAACACCAGUGGCGAAGGCGGCUCUCUGGUCUGCAACUGACGCUGAGGCUCGAAAGCAUGGGUAGCGAACAGGAUUAGAUACCCUGGUAGUCCAUGCCGUAAACGAUGAGCGCUAGGUGUUGGGGGACUU